GUAGUCCCAUGGUUCAGAAUCAGUAAGGGGACCAGACCAGGAGAAACUACUGGGGAGCAGCGCUACCUUCUUUAAGGUUUCUGUGAAUGCUGCCUUACACCUCUUCUCACAAUUUUUUCCACGCUACAUUUGGACAAAGAUCCCAUAAGUUAAGAAUUACAGUUGACAGAGCCUCAGGGAAAACAACAGUUAAGGUAUAAGACCCAUCUACAGGGCAUAAUAUUUUAUCAUGACUUACAUUUGGGAGAGAUCCAAGUACAACACAGGUUAGGGUCACUCACAGUGUAAAAACCUGUCCUUCAAAGGGCUGAGGCUAGUAACGCGAACUGACAGCACAAGUCAUACUGUCAGGUCGGCUGUCUCACAUCAUUAUCAGGUUCAGGGGAGAACUUUUUGCUUUUCAUUCUUUUAGAAAUUUCUUUUUUCUGUACGUUACAACUCCAGCGCUUCUACUUGUCUUUCCAAGAGCCUUCAAUAUCUCUGUCUGAGUCACAAAAUUUAUUCCUUGUUGUCUGCAAUUGAAGAAUUAGUAUGGAGAGCCAGCACGUUUCAACAUAAGCAUGUGGAUUUUGAAAAUAUAUGCAGCUAAAGAUCUUGAUUUUGUUUUAAGUUUCAGGAUCUAAUAUAGUCAUGCCUAGGUGACUGAAGACAUGCUGUUUGCUAAUUUCUCUCCAUGCAGAGUUAUAAAAUCAGGAAUCCUGGUAAAAUGCAGUGAAGGAUUUAAGGUCAUCAUCUGUCUCUCCCUAACUUCUGACAUCUCUUUAUAACAAGAAAGAGUCACAGCCAACUGUAACAGGAGGGCAACACAAUGAAUCCCGGGAAGAAGGCAACUCUUGGUAUGGGUGCAAAACUCAGAAGAGGUCUGUGCCGAAUAAGAGCAAGAACACAGCUGCACAAGACUCAGCACACUUCAUAGACAAAAUGCAAUGAAGGGAAAGAUGACACUUUAAGCUAAAUCAGACAUCAUUAUACAAUACUUUCCCCAUUCAGCUUGCUCUAGCAGGAAUAUGUAUGUGCAGCGGCAGCGCUUGGGACAUGAAGAGCUACACUGAAAGUAGAUACGUUUCCCAUGUUUGAGGUGUGGAUGGAGAGUAAGAAAAACGGCUGUCCCUGUAGAGGUGCCCCCUGCAGCAAUGGCUUCUGUGAAGACCUGCUUUUGCGUUCUUAAUGAGAAGACCAACAUCCACUGCCUGAGAAGGUUUCCAGAGGCUGGGCAGAGCCGGUCAGCAUAAAACAGCCCAAACUACAGCAAGGAUACCCAGCAGAAGUACACGGAUAAAACCGUCCACAUUCCCUCUACCUGUGAAGACGAGGCCGUGAGGCACAUGUUGCCUCCCUCUCUGACAUGAGGCCUGAAAGUCAUUAGGGAAAGGACUCUCCUGAGGACUGCGUGGCUGCAUGUACACGUGUAUGCACACACAGUUGUAAAUGGGAGCUUGUGCAGGGUCCGUGCUGCACUGGGCUGCGUAAGUAAGCUUUUCUCUUUCAGACGGACCAACUUGAACGGUGCCUGGGGGUGAUAGGCAGGCGAUCGGGUCCUUCACCCUCAGCCUCUUAACUGUUUUUUAUUUUGGCUUCCAAGACCUGAAAUACUGGAGGUGUUAAGAGGUGAUACUACAGUCGAAGCCAUCUUAUUGACAAAAGGGAACACACUGCAUGUAUGGACCUAAGAAUUUGUUGUUAGACUAAUAAAUGUUUUAAAUAGUCUAAGAGUCAACAUUACCAAAUUAAUACAGGAAGGCCUCAUUAAAAAUAGAGUUAAAGCUAUUAGACAGAAUUUCCCUGUUCUCUCAUGUUGUGCUUACUCCUCCAGGGUGCCUUUGGGUCUGAAGAUUGACACUUCGGUAUUUCUCAGAAGGAAUGGGGGAGUAUUAUGAGACAUAUUGAGCAUAAAUGACAAUGUUUAUGAAGUGCUCUGAAGAUGCAAAAGAUAUGCAAGUACAGCUGAUGUCACCUGACAACAUUUGCUUACUAUUAGGGCUUUUCAGCCAGAAGACUAUCCUGAAGGAAAUUACUGUCAGCAGCCAAAAAGAGUAUCAGUAAUUCAUCCUCAAGCACCGUCAACUUAAUUCUAAAGUGAUGUCGCUGCUUUACAAGUUCAGGCUGAAGUGGUGAGUUUACAAAUCCAUAAAUCAAACCACAUCAAUAAAGGAAAUAUAUAUCUCUUUUACAAAUAUUCUGUUUUCCUAAAACUUCAUGGUAAGCUUAGAUUUUAGUAAUUGGAUCUUCAGUUACUAGAAAAAAAUUGUGAUCUGUGUUCUGUACGUCACAGGAAGGUUUAAAAUAGAAAAGCUAAAUAACUACUGCCUACUCAACCCUAAUAAGUACACAUUGAACAUCCAGAAUGGUAGCAUGAAAUGGCACCUUGGAAAUGGCACCUGCCUUUCCUAGGCCAUUUAAUUUGUUUAACAAUACCCAGCAGCUGACAGCCCCCAGCUGCCACUCUGAGGGCAAUGGAAGGUGUGCCCUUCUCACCUGGACUGCAGAGGGCCUAGGGCCUGGAGAAGGAACUUGUUUUGCACUGCUUCAGCACCUUAGAAUUUGAUAACUUAAGGUGUGGGAUAGUGCUGAAAUUGGUUGUAAUUAUAAAGGGCUCAAAUUAUUGAGCUCAUUCGUGAGCUCAACAGCUGAAUGCAAGCCAGUGUUCUGGUGUCCUCUUGAGCCUGGGGAUGAUCUGCAUGUUCCAGCUGUGCUGUGAACCCAGAGUGAUCGUCUGGGUUGUAGAGAAGUUUCUCUGGAUUUGUGAUAGCAUAAAUGAGUUUGGGUUGUGUGUUCCUCUGAGCAGCAUGGGGCGCGUGAGGCCUGGGCGAGGCCUGGGCUCUGCGGCUCGCACCCCCGUUGUGCCUGCAGCCUGUAAUGGUUGUGGGCAGCACGGGAGCUCAUGAAACGUCCUUGGUCUGAAUGUUUCUGAACUGACCUAAUGUAUCCUGAGUAAUAAUAAAACUGAUUGAAAUUCUUUAGGUCUAAAAGUGCCACUUAGAGAGCUGAUUUGGACACUUUCUGUGCAGAAUCAGCAAGCGAUGUGGUGACAUACAGCCCCAAGUGCAGGACCAAGAGCCUGGCAGUCCAUGCGAGUGCAUCCCCUGCCUUCAGCUCAGCCCACUGGCAAAAAUGUGCAGAAUUUAUUGUCCAGGGCACAGCUUAUUGCCACAGGCAGAGUGAAGCCUCAGCAUGCAUUCAGAUUCAGAACUGCAACCAGCACUUAGUGAAUAGCAGCCACUUUCUGAGUCUCAGCACACUAUGAAAAUCCUUCUCAAAUCAAAUGCCCCCGGGGGAGUGAGAAAUUAAAGAUGCUCUUCCACUGUGGGCUGGGGCAUGCCACUAGAUCAAUACUCAGCAUAAAGAGCUUUCUGCUUGUCAGUACAGGGUAGGGGUGGCAGUCGGGGCGGACACUCCUUGUAACAAGCAAACCAACAGGCGACAUACCAAGUAACAUGAGAAAAUGACGGUGGUGAUGAAGACCAGGAGGAGAGUACAGUAGUGAGGGGCCCUGCGAUGCCUGAAUUGGAAAGCAUUUUGCUUCUCAGCUUGAACUUUUUAAUUAAGGAAUUUCACAGUAAUUUCAACUACGUUUAAAGAGCAAUCAUUUCAGUGCUCUCACUCACUAAAUAUUUCUUGCAGUCUAACUAAGCAGUGACGGAGGUGGGAGCUGAAUUCCUUCAGCUCCACUGCAUUAACAGCAACUCCUUUCCAGCCUACGCUGCAGGUCGGUGCUGUCCUGUGGCAGCUUUCUUGGGCUUACAGGGUGUGGAGAGCUCAGACAGGGCCGGUACUGUCCCUGGCUGGCACUCGGGACCCGCGUGUACUCAGACACAGUCCCAGGCAGCACAGGCUGUGGGAAAUAUUUUCUGUCGUUUCCUCGUUUCCUCGAGGGGCAGGGAGGGAAGGAAGGACACUGGUCGCUGUAGGAGGGGCAGUAGGUACGGCUGAACUGGAAGGAGGGGAAGGGCUCAGGGAUAUAAUGAGGAGGUGGGGGAAAUGACACGGGAAUGAAAGGGUGAGUGAGUAUAUGAGAUACCCACUCAUCCUGGCCUUUCUCUGUUCAAAGCACUCCCUCAAAGGGUGGGUACAAGACCUGAACAGAGGGGAUGGAUGUCAAAAUGUUUCCAUAAAGAAUAUAGUGUAAUAAAUCAGAGAAAAGGGCAGAAAAGAGGCAAGGAGCAAAUGGUAGGAGAAUUAUUUUUAUUCAGAGUGAAUGAUUAUGUCUCCUGGGUGAUUACACAUCGGGGUGGUGGUGUGUUGGGGAGGACUAUUCAGCUAGAGAAAAAGGAGUGCUCAAAUUGCAAUCAUUGAACUAAAGUGCGUGCAAAGGUGUAAAUAAGAUAAGAAAAGGUCAGAGAAGAGAAAAUGCAGCAGGAUUCAACAUAUCUGGGGCACUGUAGUCCUCAGGAGUUAAGACAACUAUCAUACAGGCGUAGGAGAGCUUUCAGAGGAAGAUAGUUUGAAUACUGGCAGAGCAUAAUCAAAGAGCUGCUGGGGUAAACAGCAAAGACUAUAAAAAAUACUGAGAACACGUAACUUGCAAGUGUUUGGUCAAGUACAAGACCAAUGAUUUUUUUCAAGUUGUCUACCAAACAAGGCCUCUAGCAAGAAAUACCUGCUGUAUAACAUGCACCUAUAAAAAUCAUACCAGUAUAAGGAUGAAGAAAGACAAGUGAUACAACGCCAGUGUCAUGUAUCCAAGCAUUAUCCUUCAAUAACCUUCUGGUAGGAAAAGGUUUUAGUAGGGCUGUAACAGUUCGUGGGGCAUCAGGAAAAUUGUGUGACAUUAGGAGCUCUGGAAAAAUAAUUGCUGUGUUUUCUCGAUAGCUUAGCAGAUGUUUUUACUCUCACUAGUACCUGUAGCUGCCAACUGGCUCUUUCCCAUUUUGACUGAAAUUAUAGAUAACUUUCAAAUCUGAACCAGGUUUAACUUUAAUCCAUUUGAUCCCCUGGAGCUGUGGCUUGACCAAUAUAUGCCAGUGAUGACUGUAUAUAAGACCAGUGGCUUUUUGUGUGGCCUUGGUAUUGCCAGGCACUGCCUUCACUGUUCUAUUUAGCAACUGUUGUUGUAUCAUGCAUUGCACAGCGAUGGGUUCAGGAACUUCUGUCACUGGAAGGGGGACCUGAAAUAACAGAGUGAGUUUUAAAUUCCUAGUGACAGUAGCUGGUAUGUCUCAAUAUUCACUUGUUUUUGUAAAAAAAACCCUGCAGCAUCAGUGGAAAACAUUAUUUUUCUCACUUCACUCAGAAGGAGGGAAAAACAGAUGAGGAUUCCUGCUUGGAAUCCAAACUCUGAAAGCUUCGAGUUACUUUAUGCAGCAGCCCAGCAUUCAGAGACCCAGGGCAUGGAGGCAGUAAAUGCCACUACAUGCCAAUUCCCCACUUCCCUAGACUAGCUUUCUGGUCAAAGUUAAUGAUUCAUAAGAUUCUGCACUGAUUUCACUGUGAGCUUCACAUUUGCAUAAGUAAAAGCUUAUGCAGCUUCUGUAGGGAGAUUCUUGGUGAAAUUGCAGUACAAAACAUUGAUAUUAUGUAAUUAUAGUAGUUCAUACCAACUUAAAUGAAAUUGUUACUUUAAACAUGCUCUAAGUGGCUCACAAUGAAACUUUUGUACGACACACCUACAAAACAAAUGAGUUAAUCACAAUAUGUGUCAUUUUUAAUUUUUCUCUUUCAUUUCUCUUUCAGUAAUUCUCUCUUUGUAAUUAGCAUGAAGACUAUCCUUCAGUCAAAACUAGCCACCUGGAAAGUUUCAGCUUGUAAUAUGCAGCUUUUUUGUGAAUUAUGAAUGUGCAAAAAAAGAGACCUUUCUCCCCACACCCCCUUCCUUGCAUAAUUCAAAUAUGAAUGAAUGAAUUUUAUUCAGGCUUACAAAAAAUAAAAAAAUAAAUCAUAUUUCAGCUGAUAACAAGCAUGAGAAAUUUCAGAUGAAAGGGAAUUUUUUUUAAAGAAUAUUAUGAGCAUGGGCGAACAGCAGGUUAAGAUGGAAGGCUCAGUGCAGCCUUAGCUAUAACAAUUGCUAGCAAGCAAAUACUAUAUCCAAGCACUAAAUCUUGCUUUGUGCUGCCCCGGUGCACAGUAGUGGGGAGAGAAUAGAAUAAUAAAAGCCUGUCCCCUUAUGCAAACAGCAGGGCAUAGCACUCAACAGAAUACAAGAAGAAGGUGAGCCUGCCUACUGUUCUGGCUUGCUAACCAUAUUCCUGAGGUCUGUGGGUUAGUUGUCACCCCUAGCUCCAGUCAGCUAGCAAAUGUACUUCAAACAAUAGCAAGGGGCACAUUUUGGGCCUUUCCAGAAGAACAUUGUACCAAUUCUUUGCCUCCAGAUAUACUGUUCUGUUAAAUAAAGUAUUUGAAGGAAGUUCAUAUAAGCAACACGGUGGUUUAACAGGUCAAAAAGGGAGUGGAACAGCUGCUAGAUUUUUUCUGAUUAACCGUGUAUGUUAAAAAAUACAGAACUGUGAAGAAGGCAUUACGUGCAAGCCCUCACUUACUUUCCUGCUUUUCAAGUGAAGCACCCCCAGAUUUCGGCUCAUGCCAAUACCACUUUGAAAGUGAACUUUCACAAGAACUAAAGAUGGUGAUCUGGAACACCUUUCUGCACUGCAUUUUCUCUUGCUCCUAAUACUGCUCUGGUGAUAAGUCUGUCUCAUAUUUUCUGCCCAGAAAACAAUAUUAAAGAAGCAUUCACUUACUGCUAAUAAAAAACUGUCCACCACUGUGGCUAAAGACUAAUGAGCACUUCAGAAUUUAUGCAUGGUAAGCCCAGACAUAAAAAAAAUCUUCUAUUCUGACAAGAGUUGCCUGUUGCAAGUUGAAUUUGGCAGUAAGUGACUGAAAUUGAGUUGUCAGCAUCCUCUUGCAUAGUAGGAAAAGUUGUUGCUUUCUUGUGCAGAUGCAAGAGUUUCUGUGGGAAAACAGAACAUAAUCAUGGUUCUGAAUGUCUCUGCGGAUUGGUAAUGUCUCUAAUACAUAGAUCACUUGUGCAAAUUCAGUCCCAGCUGGAUGGGAAAUUAUUGAAAAUGGUUGUUGUUUGAUUGAUAUAAAAUGAGUUGUCAGCUUGAUUCAAUGCCUCUAGGGCAGAUGUCCACAGCGUAAUUGGCACCUGUCAGAAGCAAAGAAUUCCUUGGUACAGAGUAACAACUACUCAGGCAGCCACCCCAAAAUAGUCCUUGCGUGCCAGGGCUCGGAGGGAAGGCAGGCAAGAAUAGUUUCUACUUUCGGGCAGAAUCUUUUAUGCCAUAAAAUCAGUAAGAGAUUUGACAUGACACUUGGCGCAAGGUUUUUCUUGGCUAGAGACUGUCAGCCAGCUCCCCUGCUGUUUGGGCAACACUUUCACUAAGAACCAGAGGAGGGAAAGCACAUACAUUUAUAUAUUUGUUAAUAUCAUCAUGGUAAGGGUAUAUUUAUAAGGAUUUUUUUACAUAUUUACUUACUAAAAGAAAUGCUGUGAACAAUUUUAUUUUCCUACAUCUUGAGCAAUUCUCCUUACAUCAAUGAUAACCAUACAACUAGGGAAAUAAGAGAAAGUCUUCUCAGAAAAAAAUAUGGCAAAGAAACCACCACUACUGACAAUGCAGCGGUCAAUAUUAAACUGUUUGCUAAUGGUAAGGAGCUACCCAUUGUUUACCACUGACUGGAAUAAAACUGAUUUUUUUCCUACAAGUCACCAAAUAGCUGUCAUAUGGUUGUUACUGCCUUUGACCAAGUCUGGUACAGCUAACAACAGGAAUGAAUUCAAUCUCCCGUCACCAAUCUGUCGAGCUGGCCACCUUCUUCAUGGAGCUGCUGCUCUGGGAGGUGCCAGCUGAAGGGCUUUCCAUUAAAAUUCAUUUUACUGUCUUCAUCUAGCGAAUGGCUCAACUUUCCUUCUUUCAUCUCUGUUUCCUCCUUUAGAUUAUUUUUCAUUAUGCCUCCCCCCCAACGUACAGACACUUUUCCUUUCAUCUCUAUAUGUAUGCUAUUCCAGCACUUGUCAGCCACAGCAGGAGGGACAUGGUAGAACCAAACAAUAUGAUAUGUUAGGUGGAAGAAAAUAUUAUUAUCAGACGCCUCAGAACAAUCAUUUAUUGUCACACUUUAAAGAGGUCUGCUAUGUUAUUUAUUUUAUUAUUCUGUAUUAGGUACAUGGUUUAAUUUUACAGGCAUUAUUAAUCACUAAAAUACAUUACACUUUCAGCCAGGAUGUUAACAUUUUAAAUGCAUUCAUCUUGCUUCUUUAAACAGAAACAAUGGGCCUUCUGCAGUGCCCUCCCUCCCCUUUAGUCAAUAAAUCCUUUCUAUUGAUUCAGGAAAUAACUCUAAGCACUGUUUUAUAUUUUAAGUUCUACUAGCUAGGCUCAGCCAUAUAAUUUUGCUUAAUAACAAAUGGAUCUUCUAUUUUUGCUGGUUACUACGUGUUUGUUUAUCAAACUCGGUUUGGAAGUACUGGGUAGCAAAGCACAACACUUACAAUGUCAGAGAGGCACCACAAGAGAUUUCCUAAAUGAAUGUUACAACAAAAUAAAGUAUUAAAAAAAAAAAAAGUGUGUGUGUAUGUGUGUGUGUAAAAAGCAGCCUCAUCAGUAGAUGAAUGAUAAAUGAAAAAUCCAUCAGUGAGUAUGGAUUCCCUUGAGCCAGCUUGGAUCAACAGACAAUAUGGAUUUUUGAUAAUUCAUGGCUUUGCCAUUAUUUAUUCUCUCCUGAAAUACCCAUUGCAAAUCUCAGAGAGAUAAUUAGAGAAUUAUCAUAUUGCUUAACUAAGUAGUGCAAAUUGUAUUAUAUUCUAUGUAUCCCAACCCAGGGCAGUAUCAUUAGCAUCAUUUAAUUGUUGCAAAUAUAGUCAUUGCAUUUUAAUAAAUUGUCUUCAUUGUCAAUAUCUACGAUUGACUAUUUCUUUUCUCUUAAUGUUCCUGGAUAGGUUAGUUACCAGGUAAUCUUACAGUUAAUAUAUACCACAAUGAGGCAAAAUGUAAGAAAAUGCAAAGGUCAAAAACAUGUUUCUAUUAUGAAAAAAAUGAAUGAUAAUGACAUAAUUUUUUCAGCUCAUCAGGUUCUUUGCUAAGUGCCUCUGUUAUUGCCAGAUCAGUAGUGUAUAACAAAGAAGUGCUUUCUGUGGACUGCUUCAUUAGCCUGCCCUGUAGGACCUCACCUCAGACCUUUCACUAAUCUGUUGGCCAGCUCAAUAGCCUUGUUAGUUCUAUUCACUUCUUCCUGGCAGCGGCUUUUCUCAGCUGUAGCUCUCUCCUCUCAAAGGAAGUGGUUAAGGCAGCCAGGAUUGUGUCUAGUUCCUUCAAAUAAAAACAGUAAGAAACAACUUGGACAUUGUGAGAACACGUAAAAAUAUUUCUGCUGUCCCAUUUUAUAUUUCUGAAAAUUAAAUUAUACAGUGCAAGA